UACGAAGGGUGCAGGCGUUAAUCGGAAUUACUGGGCGUAAAGCGUGCGUAGGCGGUUGUUUAAGUCUGCUGUGAAAUCCCCGGGCUCAACCUGGGAAUGGCAGUGGAUACUGGACAGCUAGAGUGUGUCAGAGGAUGGUGGAAUUCCCGGUGUAGCGGUGAAAUGCGUAGAGAUCGGGAGGAACAUCAGUGGCGAAGGCGGCCAUCUGGGUCAAGACUGACACUCAUGCACGAAAGCGUGGGGAGCAAACAGG
rnacentral:rRNA from 1 species